UGUAUGUUGAGGGUUAGGUGCAGUUCAAGUGCUUAAUCCCCACCCCCAGCUUUAAAGUCAUACACUAUGAAAUGCUCAUUUGCACAGUUUUUCUUUGGGGAAAUAAAGGUACAAGCCAAAAAGGAAACAGGCCAUCUCCUAGGCUUUUAUACUCUAAAGAUGGAGUAGAGACAGAAAAUAGGGAAAGCAAGAAUGAAAUACCAUAAAUGCCAGGUGAAGAACCAAAAGAUCUUCCAGGCAGUGGGACGUGCAAAGGCCCUGAGGUAGGCAGAAGCUGAUGUGGCUGGAAGUAGGUCAAGUUGGGAGGAGAGGGACAGAUGGGGCCUGCAGGCUGUGGGAAAGAGUCUAAGAUGUACUCUGAGGUGGGGAAACAGGGAGACUGAGACUCAGGGAGAGAGAGGGAGAGAGACUGGGAGCCCAAGGAAGAGAUGGGGACUUAGCAUCUUGAGAUCUGGGCCCCAAUGGCCAAGAAGGCUUCAGCUGUGUCUUGCAGCCCACCCCAGACCCCUCUGCGGUACUCUGACUUCACUAGCACAGGCAACCACCCAGCACCCAGAACAGUGUGGGCAUACAGUAGGCACUCUAUAGAUGUUGGAUGAAUGGGUAAACAGAGGGAUGGACAGAUGAGUGGAUGUGGAUGGAGAAAUGGAUGGGCUGGGUGGGUGGAUGGAUGAGCAGGUGGGUAGAUGAAUGGACGGUGGAGGAAGACUCGGUGCCGAGGUCAUGGCCCUGAGAAGCUGCAUUUCCCACCGUCCAGCAGGAGCCUGGGCAGUGGCCUGUGCGGUGGUGGGUGGAGGGACAGCAAAGCCAGCCUCAGGGGCCCAGCUCUCUGCUGUAGCCUCAUAAGAUCUGGGUGGAGGCUGUGGGGUGGGCAGAGCAGGUGCUGCGCACAGGCCAGGCAGGGGCGGCCGGCGGGUACCAGAUGCUGCUACUUCCUCUGCCGCUGAGUCAGUGU
rnacentral:lncRNA from 1 species